UACGUAGGUGGCAAGCGUUGUCCGGAUUUAUUGGGUUUAAAGGGUGCGUAGGCGGUCUAUUAAGUCAGCGGUGAAAUACUCCAGCUUAACUGGAGGGGUGCCAUUGAUACUGAUGGACUUGAGUCAAGUCGAGGUAGGCGGAAUUGACGGUGUAGCGGUGAAAUGCUUAGAUAUCGUCAAGAACACCUAUAGCGAAGGCAGCUUACUAGGCUGUAACUGACGCUGAGGCACGAAAGUGUGGGGAUCAAACAGG
rnacentral:rRNA from 1 species